rnacentral:rRNA from 1 species
AGAGUUUGAUCCUGGCUCAGGAUGAACGCUGGCGGCGUGCCUAACACAUGCAAGUCGAGCGGAGUUAUUUUCAGGAAGCUUUCGGGUGGAAUGAACUUAACUUAGCGGCGGACGGGUGAGUAACGCGUGGGCAACCUACCCUGUACAGGGGGAUAACAAUGGGAAACCAUUGCUAAUACCCCAUAAUACCUUUUAGAGGCAUCUCUUUAAGGUCAAAGAAUUUCGGUACAGGAUGGGCCCGCGUCUGAUUAGCUAGUUGGUGAGGUAAUGGCUCACCAAGGCGACGAUCAGUAGCCGGCCUGAGAGGGUGAACGGCCACACUGGAACUGAGACACGGUCCAGACUCCUACGGGAGGCAGCAGUGGGGAAUAUUGCACAAUGGGCGAAAGCCUGAUGCAGCAACGCCGCGUGAGCGAUGAAGGCUUUCGGGUCGUAAAGCUCUGUCCUAAGGGAAGAUAAUGACGGUACCUUAGGAGGAAGCCCCGGCUAACUACGUGCCAGCAGCCGCGGUAAUAC